GAGGUUAAGCGACUAAGCGUACACGGUGGAUGCCCUGGCAGUCAGAGGCGAUGAAGGACGUGCUAAUCUGCGAUAAGCGCCGGUAAGGUGAUAUGAACCGUUAUAACCGGCGAUUUCCGAAUGGGGAAACCCAGUGUGACUCGUCACACUAUCAUUAACUGAAUCCAUAGGUUAAUGAGGCGAACCGGGGGAACUGAAACAUCUAAGUACCCCGAGGAAAAGAAAUCAACCGAGAUUCCCCCAGUAGCGGCGAGCGAACGGGGAGGAGCCCAGAGCCUGAAUCAGCAUGUGUGUUAGUGGAAGCGUCUGGAAAGGCGCGCGAUACAGGGUGACAGCCCCGUACACAAAAGCGCAUGUGCUGUGAGCUCGAUGAGUAGGGCGGGACACGUGGUAUCCUGUCUGAAUAUGGGGGGACCAUCCUCCAAGGCUAAAUACUCCUGACUGACCGAUAGUGAACCAGUACCGUGAGGGAAAGGCGAAAAGAACCCCGGCGAGGGGAGUGAAAAAGAACCUGAAACCGUGUACGUACAAGCAGUGGGAGCACCCUUUGGGGUGUGACUGCGUACCUUUUGUAUAAUGGGUCAGCGACUUAUAUUCUGUAGCAAGGUUAACCGAAUAGGGGAGCCGGAGGGAAACCGAGUCUUAAUUGGGCGUUAAGUUGCAGGGU
rnacentral:rRNA from 1 species